rnacentral:tRNA from 6 species
GGGAGCAUAGCUCAGCUGGGAGAGCACUUGCCUUACAAGCAAGGGGUCACAGGUUCGAGCCCUGUUGCUCCCACCA